UUCACUAACGCACUUACCAUGAUAAAUACGCUGGUAACAUCAGUUAUCAUGGUAAACAGACCGUGGUGCUAUUCACGAACAAUUCACCUUUGGGGUUACCAUGAUAAUUCUUACCAGUGGUUGGAGCGCGCGUAAGACCGCUAGUAACUGGAGCGACAACCAUCUCAUCACGACUUAUCUCCUUCAUAAAUAUAAAUUUAAGGAUGGAAUUGUUAUGGGCAUUGGAACAUGACAGGCUUAGGAGAGAAAGAGUGUUCAAAGACAGACUCAACCCUCUUGCAGUUAGUGAUGCCCAUCUCCUAAGAUACUACAGAUAUCCUAGGAGUGAAAUUAAAUGGCUGUGUGAGAAGAUUGGGCCAGAAAUUUCUAGGCACACAAAUAGGUCACACUC
rnacentral:lncRNA from 1 species